GUGAUGAUGCAUGCAUACACAACGAAUGAGAAUUACAAAAAGGAAAACUCCCAUAUUUCAUCUUUUAUUACUGGAGAGAUCUGAUGUUGUGCCUGUAAAUUGCUGGUUCAACAAGCUCCCUCAAUGAUUUUUUUUAAAAUCAGUAGACCCCUGGAUAACAGUUCGACAAGCUGUAUGCACUUGGCCUUGCAUGUAUUAGAAAUUCUAUAAACAAUUAGUGGGUUUGAUUGGCACUGAUAUGCAAUAGCAUUAUAUAAUAGAAACUAUUUUUAUCCAUGUAAACACACAGAUAGGUUCAAGCAUUUAUGAACAAGGUUAAUUUAAGGUAUAGUGGAAUGAAGUGAUUGUAAAAUGGUGAUCAGUGCAAAGUAAAUAUUAGUAAAUACAACAACCAUAUUAGUGAAAGUUUUAAUGUCUUAAGGAGGUGACUGAAGGGCCAAAAUUCAAAUGUCAAUGUUUGAACUAUAGGAGAGGUGGUAAACCUUGAAAAAUUUAGCCAGAUUUCCUAGUUAUAAGUAAAAUUUGACAUAAAUAACCACUGGCUUCAAGAAAGAUAUCACUUUAGUAUAUCAAAAAAUUUUGUGAAAAAGGAAGCAAGAGUAGCAAUGAGAGAGAAUAAGACAGAGAAGAGAGGAAGGUGGGGAGUUGUAGUAAACUGAAUUGUGUUCCUCUAAAAGAUAUAGCCACUGGAGCCUAAGAAUAUGAUAUUAUUUGGUAAAGAGUAUUUGUGGAUGUAAUUUAUUUCAUGUAGAGUAUCUCAAGAUGACAUCUUUCUGGAUUUAGAGUGGGUCCUAAAUACAUUAACAGACAUCCUUAUAGAAUAGGAAAGACACCAAGGAGAAAGCCGUGUGAGGAUAGAGACAGAGAUUGAGGAUAUGCAGCUACAAGCCCAAGAAACUGAACGGGGCUUUCGGAAACUCCCAGAUUUGUAGCCAAGUCAGAUGGAAAUGCAGGUAGCCUGGGGAUGCUUUCUCAUGGCUAGCAUCUGAAGUAAGAGCAGUCCUGUUAAGGACCUUGCCCUUUAACUUAUAGGAUAUGAGGCUAUUUCUAAGGAGUUAACAUUGGAAUUGAAAGAGUUAACCCUUAACUUGUGGGGUCUGCACUAAUUCCAGGCAGUUAGUGUCAGAAUUGAAUUGAAUUGUAGAACACUCAGUUGAUAUUAGAGAAUUGGUGUCAGAAUCUAUGGGAGAUUCACUGUUCAGAAAGUGUGCUCUGGAAAGAAGUUCAAGUGUAGGGCU
rnacentral:lncRNA from 1 species